ACAAAGCAUCUUCUUGCUUCUCAAAGCUUUGAUGGUGUAGCAAAAAUCUGUAUGAGUCUUUGAAUUUGUAUCUGCUAACAAGGAUACACUACUUAGGCUUAUAAGAUCCGGUUUC
rnacentral:sRNA from 1 species